rnacentral:rRNA from 1 species
CGGCUCAUUAAAUCAGUUAUCGUUUAUUUGAUAGUACCUUACUACUUGGAUACCUGUGGUAAUUCUAGAGCUAAUACAUGCUAAAAACCCCAACUUCGGGAGGGGUGUAUUUAUUAGAUAAAAAACCAAUGCCCCUCGGGGCUCCUUGGUGAUUCAUAAUAACUUCUCAGAUCGCAUGGCCUUGCGCCGGCGACGGUUCAUUCAAAUUUCUGCCCUAUCAACUUUCGAUGGUAAGGUAGUGGCUUACCAUGGUUUCAACGGGUAACGGGGAAUUAGGGUUCGAUUCCGGAGAGGGAGCCUGAGAAACGGCUACCACAUCCAAGGAAGGCAGCAGGCGCGCAAAUUACCCAAUUCCGAUACGGAGAGGUAGUGACAAUAAAUACUGAUACAGGGCUCUUUUGGGUCUUGUAAUUGGAAUGAGUACAAUUUAAACCUCUUAACGAGGAACAAUUGGAGGGCAAGUCUGGUGCCAGCAGCCGCGGUAAUUCCAGCUCCAAUAGCGUAUAUUAAAGUUGUUGCAGUUAAAAAGCUCGUAGUUGAACCUUUGGCCUGGCUGGCAGGUCCGCCUCACCGCGUGCACUUGUCCGGCCGGGCCUUUUCUUCUGGGCAACCGCAUGCCCUUCACUGGGUGUGUUGGGGACCAGGACUUUUUACUUUGAAAAAAUUAGAGUGUUCAAAGCAGGCCUUUGCUCGAAUACGUUAGCAUGGAAUAAUAGAAUAGGACGUGCGGUCCUAUUUUGUUGGUUCUAGGACCGCCGUAAUGAUUAAUAGGGACAGUCGGGGGCAUCAGUAUUCAUUUGUCAGAGGUGAAAUUCUUGGAUUUAUUGAAGACUAACUACUGCGAAAGCAUUUGCCAAGGAUGUUUUCAUUAAUCAGUGAACGAAAGUUAGGGGAUCGAAG